CCUUCAUCAUGAUCAAGCCCGACGGCGUCCAACGCGGCCUGUUGAAAGGUUGGAGAAAUCAUUAGUAGGUUUGAGAAAAAGGGUUUCUACUUGAAAGGGUUGAAGUUGGUCGGCGUGGAACGCUCCUUUGCGGAGAAACACUACGUCGACCUCUCCACGAAGCCCUUCUUUGGUUGCCUUGUGGAGUACAUCAUCUCUGGUCCGG